UACGAAGGGGCUAGCGUUGCUCGGAAUGACUGGGCGUAAAGGGCUCGUAGGCGGCCAACUAAGUCAGACGUGAAAUCCCUCGGCUUAACCGGGGAACUGCGUCUGAUACUGGAUGGCUUGAGAUUGGGAGAGGGAUGCGGAAUUCCAGGUGUAGCGGUGAAAUGCGUAGAUAUCUGGAGGAACACCGGUGGCGAAGGCGGCAUCCUGGACCAACACUGACGCUGAGGAGCGAAAGCCAGGGGAGCAAACGGG
rnacentral:rRNA from 1 species